AAGUCGUAACAAGGUCUCCGUAGGUGAACCUGCGGAGGGAUCAUUAACACGUUUAACAACGUACCCACCAAAACUAUGGAAACAGCCGCAAGGCAGUUCUCUCCCUCUAACAAUUGCUCUAUAGCUAUAGCACUUGAUAGAGGCUCUAUCCUUACUAUAACCCCUUUCCAACUUCAAUGCAAUCAUGUGCCCUGUAACACAGUGUGCAUGUUGGCAUUGGCCUGUCUGACCUGUAUUCUAUUUGGCGCGCUCAGUCUGUCUGGAUUCGUCCACACAUUCUGUUCUCGCUCUAUAGUUGAUAUUUAAUGCAAAGCACAACUCUUAGCAACGGAUAUCUUGGUUCUC
rnacentral:misc_RNA from 1 species